rnacentral:rRNA from 1 species
UACGGAAGGGGCAAGCGUUGUUCGGAAUCAUUGGGCGUAAAGGGCGCGUAGGCGGUGGGGUUUGUCCGCUGUGAAAGCCCCCGGUUUACCCGAGGGAGGGCAGCGGAAACGGCCUGACUUGAGGCUGGGAGGGGCUGGUGGAAUUCCCUGUGUAGCGGUGAAAUGCGUAGAGAUGGGGGAGAACACUCGUGGCGAAGGCGGCCAGCUGGCCCAGUCCUGACGCUGAGGCGCGACAGCGUGGGGAGCAAACAGGAUUAGAAACCCCCGUAGUCC